CAUUAUUUUGGAAAUAAUCUAUUUAUUUUUGUACAUAAGUUAUGCAAGAUUUUGAUAUUUGCAUAUGAUACCAUCAUAUCCAUUUUCUUAAUUUGCAAUUAAAUAAUAAAAUGCCAAACAUGACCUGUGUUACAUAAACUGUCAACAAAAUAACAAGACAAUACCUAAAAACACCCUUAUUUCACACCACUAACAAUAAACAGAUAACAAUCUGUCAGGCAUUCAGAGCUAAACAGGGUACUGAUUAUCUAGGGGUAGAUAAGGCUACUGAUGGGGUUUGCCUAGAGAUAAGGCUGUGUGGAAUAAGAUAUAAGGCUUUUGAUUGGCUAUUGCACUGAGGAAGUUAUCUUUUUGAAAACAACAACUUUUGAAAAAUAAGCUGGUGUCAGCAAUUGAAUAUUGAGCUAAAUUUAAUUCAGCAACAUUAAUAUAAUGAAGUGAAAGACUUAUAAUGGUAGUGUAAAAUGUCUUGAAAUUCUGUCAGCAUGAAGUAUUGUGUGAUGAAAACAAUGUGUUUUUUACUGCAAUGUGGAAAUCAAUAAUAAGUUGGUUGGAAAGGAGGUUGAACUGCCUGUUGUUGUUUUUGGAAUACUGAAGAACAGUUUUAACAGGUUAAACUCUUGCCACAAGGCAAAAUUGACAUCAAUGGGAAGAUCCUUUGGAAAGAAUGUGCAUCAUCGCCUGCCUGAUGUAUGGACUUUUAAACCUGGUUUUUACCCUGCACAAGCUGGCAAACUUGAGGGGAACAACAGUGGGAAAACCUCGCCCUGUCCUUGACCAAGAAAGCUCGAUUUGUUGAGAGAUCAACUGGCAUAAGAGAUGCUCAAGAGGAGAAGGACACAAGCAGCAUCAAUGGUACAACUACGUGUCGCUCCAGGGCCCGCUUUCCAGGUCUCUACCAGCUGCUUUCCAGGUCCCUCCACCCGCCAAGAUCAGGUCUAAUUCCCUGCACUGGCUGCUUUCCAGGUCCCCUAGCAGUCAAGGUCUCUCCAGUAGCUGCUGUGCAGGUCCCAACACCGUAUGCCGUCAAGGUCCCUCCAUAAGCUGAAAUCCAGGUUCCUCAUUCCACUGCGGUUCAGGUACCUCCAACAGCUGAGAUCCAGGUCUCUGCAGCAGCUGCGGUCUAAAUACUCCACCCGCAGUGGUCCAUUGCGGUCAACCUUUUGCUUUAAAAUCUUCCAUAAAUGUCUAUUAUUUUAUAAUGUAUUGUAAAAAUAAUCUGUUUGUAUUAAUUUGCGGUGUACUAUUUUUGUCAUAUAAACAUAAUUUUCGUACACAUUGUGUUUUUUUCCCUUUUAACCACAUGGGGCUUAUAAUGAACUGUUGUAAUUGCUUCACAAAAACUAUUUUUUCUAGAACAUAUCAGUCCAAAAUUAUUUUUUUUCACACUGCAAAAUCCCACAAAAGGCUCACAAAAAACCUACUUUCUUAAAAAAACUCACUAAAACACUGUUAAAACCCACAAAAAUCAACUUAGCCAAACCCACAAAUUUCUUUUGUUUUUUCACAGAUAAAAUACUGUUAAUAACUAGGUUUAAAGCGAGUUAAAAGCAUGUUUUCACUGUGAAAAAAACUAACAAAGGCGUGCUUUCAGCUCACUUUUCGCUCACUUAAAAACCGUGUUUAGCCUGCUUAUAGCUCACAUAAAAAACACACUUUUUACCCACUUAAAACCAACUUCACAGAUAGAAGUUGGUCUAAGCAUGUUUAAAAAACCUCAAAAAACCAACUUGUAGAAAAUCAUACUCACUUUAAACCCACUUAAGAUGGUUAAAAAACCCACUAUGUUGGUUUAAAGCGAGUAAAACCAAGAUUUAACUCAGAAAAAACCAAGUCGGUAAGCUAAAAAACCCAGUCGGUAAGCUAAAAGCGUGUCUGAAAAACCCGCUUUUAGCACAGUGCAAAUACCGCAGAGUUUAACACAGAUGCCUGAAAAAAACUCACUUUAAACCCACUUAAGACGGUUAAAAAAAACACUAUGUUGGCUUUAAGCGAGUUAAACCAAGAUUCAACUCAGAUAAAACCAAGUUGGUAAGCAAAAAGUGUGUUUAAAAGACUCGCUUUUAGCUCGGUGCCAAUACCGCAGGGUUAAACCCAGUUUAAAACUGGGUUAUAACCGGAUUUUGCUCACUUUUUUGAC